GGACGCUGAGACAGCACGAAGGAGGCGGAGAUGAGUCCUGCCCAAGGAGGGAUUGCUCAAACUUCAUAAAACCUAAGAACCGGGCAUCGACAGGAGAGGCGGCAGUUUGCCAAGCAGACAUGAAGACCGUCCAGACAAAAGGAGUGGUGUAUUCACCAGGCCUCUGACACCCCGGAAGUCAGAUAGAUACUGGGAAGAGUUCACACAACUUGAUCAAGGUCACAGAGUUGACAUGAAGAAGAGAAAAUCUGUAUCUCUGGGGACUCACGGUGGAACCUGAGAUUUUAACCUGAGCCUGGUCCCUGAAAGCACCCCCGAAGGCCUUCUCACCGGCUCUCCUCAUAGCGUCCCUGAAGGCAUGUCAAAUGGGUAAGUGUUUUCUGGGCCCUGGAGUACAUAUACACCGGGGUGUGUAUCUGACAUUACCUUUGACCCUGCUCAUCUUCUCUCCUUGUCCCCUGUCCCCAGGAUUUCCAUCUCCCUGCUGUAACUUCCUGGUUUCUAGUCUAAAUUUGGAUAUUGUUCAGGACGUGAGUGAUGGGGUGGGGAUAAACCAGGCGAAGCUGACGGCGAGGCGAGCACAGGGCGGGUGUGGGGAAGAGAGGUGUCAGCAAGACACGAGGCAGAAGAAAUCCGGAAGGUACUGUGUGAAGUGCAGCGGGCCCUGUGGGGGUCACCCAUGCCCAUCACCUGUCUGCAGGUCUAACAGGAGCUUCCUGAGUGACCCGGGUGGCCUGGUCACGGUUAUCUCAAGUGACCCCACCGCAGACUGCCCAGGGCUCCUUUGUUUCAUCAUUUCUCCUUCCCUCUGUGCUCAUUGGAAGGUGACAGAAGCUGUCAGUCACUUGAGGAUGAAGCAAAGCUACAUUUCAUCAUCUGACUGUUAAGCCCCAAGCCGCCAGGUAGUGGUGCCGGCCCCCUUAUGAAUGCCUGUUGACAGUAUUCAUGCCAACACAUCUGGGACUCAGACACUGGUGAGGGCCCUGGGGGAAAUCUUGAGUGGGGGAAGGAAGGAGAUGAUAUCUGGGCGUUCCAGCAGCUGAGCCACGUGUACGCCGUUGUCACCACUCUGAUGGCCACUAAGUGGAAAUGACUUCGCUUCUUGGUGAAGCAAGCCAGCUAACUUCUCGUUUUUUGAAAGUGGAACAAAUGUGUAAUCAAGACCUAGGUUUUGUGGUUGCUGCUGUGCUGUCUAGUUGGGGAAUGAAGAUUGUUUGGUUCUGGGUGCUGGGGGUCCUGUGCGCGGGAACAUAUGCUCCACCACUGACUUACACCUGACCCUUGCUGGUUUCGAAAUGGGGGUGUAUCUCGUACCAACCAAGAGAACUCCACACUGAGGAUGUCCUGUGAAAUAAAGCAACGAUAAGAGAAUGUUUCCUAACUCAGGAUAGCAGGGGAUGCCGUCAGCCAGAUGCCCUUUCUUGCCUUUGUUGAUAGUGCAGAGUGUGUGCCCAGAUGACUUAGGUUCUUUGAACUCAGACAAUG